GGCAGAGUAGCCUAGUGGAAAGAGCAUGGGCCUAGAAAUCAGAGGACCUGGGUUCUAAUGCCAGCUCUGCCA
rfam:Ornithorhynchus anatinus chromosome 4, whole genome shotgun sequence.